AUGGCAGCCUGUCAUGGAGAACAAAGCUGGUGUCGGAGGCCCUCCAGUCCAGUCCUAGCUCUGCAACGGAGCAGCUCCCUCUCAGAGCCCUGGCUUCUCCAUAUGCGUGUUAGUCUAGAUGACCUCAAAGCUCCUGGAUCAGCAUGUUAUGCAAUGGACAAUUUGUACUGCCUGUUAUUACAAUGUAUAUACUGGGGGCGUCUGUUUCAGCUUUGGCUGGAAGCAGCUCGCAUCGCUGCCUUCGAUUAUCAGGCACAGGGGUGGAAACAGCCUAGGCUUUGCCGUCACACACACGUGCUUUCCGUCCCAGGUCUCCCCUCGCUGGCUUCUGCUUGCUUCUCAGGUAAAUGGGGAUGCGGGUGCUUGCCUCAUAAGGGAGCUGUUCAGCUCUCUUCCUAGCAGGGCUGUGGCUGGGUGAGGGGGGAGGCUGAGCGACAUCCCAGGGCCACAGGGAAGCCCACACCCGUAUGCUGCCUCGUCUUGUCUCUGAGCUCCCUGCACAGCGUGCCUCCCCGCUGGGGCAGGGCUGCGGUCAACGCGGGCAGCCCUCUCCUACGUUGGCGUGAUUUGCACCUCUUGCUUUUCCACCCCUUUCCCUUCCAUUCCUUCAGGAAGAGUUAGUUGGGUGAUAAAGUGGUAGGAGUAGGAGUCUUUGAAGUCAGACAGCCGCAGUCAAGUUCUGCCUGCUUUCGAGGAGCUGGUGGGAGACAGACAUUAAAACAUAAGCACACAAGGGAAAGCAUGCUUAGGAAAUUUGCUGAGUGCCGUGCAGGAAAAUUAGAGAAUUUGUUAGCAGUAAUAGGGUAGACUGGAAGGUCAGGAAAGCUUGCUCUGAGAGAGUGACCUUCAAGCAAAGACUAGAUGGGAGUAACCAGGGCAAGGAUGGCAGAGGUGGGCAGUAGAGAAGGGUUCCAAGGAGGGGGGAGAGCACUGCAAGGCCCCACGUGGGGAAGAGGUUAGUGGUUAGCUUGCGAAGGUGCCGGCGAGCUUGCCAAGCUGGAGAGGAGGGAGUGGAAGAGGUGAGGCUGGGGACCAAGGGAAGGGGGUGGACAUGCGGGUUUUAUAGAGUCGGUGAGAAGCUGGUGCCUUAUCUAAGCUGUAAGGAGAAGCUGUUCAAGGGUAUACUUGGGCAUGGUGACAUCGUGCUCUGGCUCCCCUUGUAAAUGUCAUCACUCUAGUUGCUGCAUAAAUGACAAGGCAGCUGGUUUUACGUUUCACCUCCCCAGGCCUUUUCUCUAUAGACACAUGUGGCUAUAGACUAUGUGGCUAUUCUGGCCACAGACGAGCCUUUGCUGUGCCCCUCGGCCGAGGCCGCUCUUCUGCAGAUGAGGAAGUGAGUAAUGACUUGGUGUCUGUGUGAUUUCCAGUGGGCUCUUUUCUGAACAUGCGUGCUCCGUGAUCAUUCCGACUCCCCAGCCCCUGCCUGGAAUUUCUCCCUGUUGCCUGGCCACACGUGUCUUCAUCUCCAAUAAAGGCUGUGCUGCUUCUGACA
rnacentral:lncRNA from 1 species